AUUGAACGCUGGCGGCAUGCUUUACACAUGCAAGUCGAACGGCAGCACGGGGGCAACCCUGGUGGCGAGUGGCGAACGGGUGAGUAAUAUAUCGGAACGUACCCGGAAAUGGGGGAUAACGUAGCGAAAGUUACGCUAAUACCGCAUAUGCCCUAAGGGGGAAAGCGGGGGAUUCGCAAGAACCUCGCGUUUUCGGAGCGGCCGAUAUCGGAUUAGCUAGUAGGUGAGGUAAAGGCUCACCUAGGCGACGAUCCGUAGCUGGUCUGAGAGGACGACCAGCCACACUGGAACUGAGACACGGUCCAGACUCCUACGGGAGGCAGCAGUGGGGAAUUUUGGACAAUGGGCGCAAGCCUGAUCCAGCCAUGCCGCGUGAGUGAAGAAGGCCUUCGGGGUUGUUAAAGGACUCUUUUCGGUCCGGGGUAACGGAAAGUACGCGAUGGGCGUAAUACCCUACGUGUGGA
rnacentral:rRNA from 1 species